GUUAGAGUUUGAUCCUGGCUCAGAUUGAACGCUAGCGGGAUGCCUUACACAUGCAAGUCGAACGGCAGCGCGGACUUCGGUCUGGCGGCGAGUGGCGAACGGGUGAGUAAUGUAUCGGAACGUGCCCAGUAGCGGGGGAUAACUACGCGAAAGCGUAGCUAAUACCGCAUACGCCCUACGGGGGAAAGCGGGGGACCUUCGGGCCUCGCACUAUUGGAGCGGCCGAUAUCGGAUUAGCUAGUUGGUGGGGUAACGGCUCACCAAGGCGACGAUCCGUAGCUGGUUUGAGAGGACGACCAGCCACACUGGGACUGAGACACGGCCCAGACUCCUACGUGAGGCAGCAA
rnacentral:rRNA from 1 species